GGUGGCUCAGUGAUAGAGUGCUUGCCUAGCAAGCAUGAGGCCCUGGGUUCGAUUCCUUAGUACCA
rnacentral:tRNA from 1 species